rnacentral:rRNA from 1 species
GACGAACGCUGGCGGCGUGCUUAACACAUGCAAGUCGAACGAUGAAGCGGGUGCUUGCACUCGUGGAUUAGUGGCGAACGGGCGGGUAACACGUGAGUAACCUGUCCUUUUCUUUGGGAUAACGGCUGGAAACGGCUGCUAAUACUGGAUAUUCAGGCUGCAUCGCAUGGUGUGGUUUGGAAAGGUUUUUUCUGGGAUUGGGUGGGCUCGCGGCCUAUCAGCUUGUUGGUGGGGUGAUGGCUUACCAAGGCUUUGACGGGUAGCCGGCCUGAGAGGGUGGUCGGUCGCACUGGGACUGAGAUACGGCCCAGACUCCUACGGGAGGCAGCAGUGGGGAAUAUUGCACAAUGGACGAAAGUUUGAUGCAGCGACGCCGCGUGGAGGGUGUAGGCCUUCGGGUUGUGAACUCCUUUUUCUCGCGAAAAAGGCACAGUUUUGGCUGUGUUGAUGGUAGUGGGGGAAGAAGCGCCGGCUAACUACGUG